AAUAUUGGACAUUGGGGGCAACCCUUAUCCACCAAUCCUGCGGUUUUGAAGAAGUUCUUCGGAUUGUAAAGAACUUUAAGUUGGGAGGAAGUGCUUUAGUUAAUUACCCUAAAUUAUUGAGUUUACCAUCAGAAUAAUCCCCGCAUAACGUUGUCCCAUCGGCCGCGGUAAAACAGAGGGUGCAAGCGUUAAUCGGAAUUACUGGGCGUAAAGCGCACGUAGGUGGUUCAGUAAGAUGGGUGUGAAAUCCCCGGGCUUAACCUGGGAACUGCUUUCAUAACUGCUGAGCUAGAGUACGGUAGAGAGUAGUGGAAUUUCCUGUGUAGCGGUGAAAUGCGUAGAUAUGGGAAGGAACACCAGUGGCGAAGGCGACUACCCGGACUGAUACUGACACUGAGGUGCGAAAGCGUGGGGAGCAAAC
rnacentral:rRNA from 1 species